GAUGAAGAACGAAGCGAAAUGCGAUACGUAAUGUGAAUUGCAGAAUUCAGUGAAUCAUCGAGUCUUUGAACGCACAUUGCGCCCCCUGGUAUUCCGGGGGGCAUGCCUGUCCGAGCGUCAUUGCUGCCCUCAAGCACGGCUUGUGUGUUGGGCCUCCGUCCUCCUCCCGGGGGACGGGCCCGAAAGGCAGCGGCGGCACCGCGUCCGGUCCUCGAGCGUAUGGGGCUUCGUCACCCGCUCUUGUAGGCCCGGCCGGCGCUUGCCGACACAUCAAUCUUUUUUCCAGGUUGACCUCGGAUCAGGCAGGAAUACCCGCUGAACUUAAGCAUAUCAAUAAGCGGAGGA
rnacentral:misc_RNA from 1 species